GUGUUUCCUUUAAAAUUGGCUCAAAUUAUGAUAUUACCUACAGAAGGGCACAAUGAUGAAUUCAACGCAAGAUCCUGCUGGUAGGAGACUACAACGACAACUUGGGAUGCGUCAGGUGAUGUGCACAUGCUUCAAAGGAAAGAGAUGAUGCACAUUACUCCUUUCUGCAAGGUGCCUAUGAAGAGGAUUGGCAAAUAAAAUAGUAAUCCAAACUUGCAAAAUACUCUUUUACAAAGAUCUAGUCUUAAUAAGACUCUAGGUGCAAGACCAUUUGCUAUUUA